GGAUGAAGGUAGCAUGGUUGUGUACACGAAUUGAAUUAAUUGAGUCAACAUGUCUGCUAUCUCUGAUUUCUCCUUGGUGGCUUGGUUUAGACACAUUU
rfam:Capsicum annuum cultivar Zunla-1 chromosome 8, whole genome shotgun sequence